AAUAAAACCUAGACUUGGUUGGUACUAUAAUCUAUCCAACAUAUUCAGUUAUUAUGCUCUGUAUUGUAGUGUAGCCAAUUUAUUCAAUUAUUCUUCUUUGUACUGUAGUCUAGCCAAUUUAUUCAGUUGUACUAUUUCCAGAAUAGGGGUAUCUAGGGUAUCAAAUUAUUUGAUUAUUCUAUGAGCUACAUGCUAGAACCAUUAUGUUAAGUGGUAUCUCUACAUCGCGCCGCAGACUGAUUCCAUCACCGGCCGGUCGCCGCCCAAUGGUUCACAAACUCUCAAAACAUGCUCUCAGAUACGUUGUACUUAUUGUCCUUCAAUAUAUAAACUCACAAUGGUUGAGUGCUCAAUAUAUCUUAUCUAAUUUGGGAACAUACUAUUUGAUUAUCAUUCAUAUAAAGCUGGUAGUAUCCCCAGGUAUACUAAUUGACUUUGUUGUGGAUGGGUGAAUAACUGCAGAUCAUCAGCAGAUGUAUCAACAUGGGGAAUCUCGCCUAAUUUCUACCCUGGCACCUCAAGCUGCAUAUCAAUGGCCUUUGAUAACUAUCAAGGAUAAGAAUGUAGUUUAGUUUUUUGUGUUCAGAAUGAGAGCAGCUCAGCAAGCGAUUGUUAGAGAAGAAUAGGAUCGAGCCCCGCACCAAGUAGAGGUGUUUGUAAAAAGUGGCUAGCAGAAUAGGAAAAGAAGAUUACAAAGCUGCUUGACUUGAAUAGCCUUGACUUGUGAAAAUUUUUCAUGCUUGAUACAUAGGAGGCGGCAAAAGCGAGUGCAAAAGGAACCUCGACAAUACGGGUGAAAUGGUGGGCUGCAGCUCUUCAAUUUGUUCAUCCAAUUAAUAUACAUAAGCCUGUUCUGUAGCUUCGAUGAAAUUCGACGGAUCCAUAUGUUUCAAUGUUUCCUCCCCUCUGAAUUGAUUCCGAGAGGUAAUUUUCUUAAUUCGCCGAUGUGGUGCUUUUCAAAA